CCUACGGGUGGCUGCAGUGGGGGAUAUUGGACAAUGGGGGGAACCCUGAUCCAGCGACGCCGCGUGAGUGAAGAAGUAUUUCGGUAUGUAAAGCUCUGUCAGCAGGGAAGAAAGCAAUGACUGUACCUGACCAAGAAGCCCCGGCUAACUACGUGCCAGCAGCCGCGGUACUACGUAGGGGGCAAGCGUUAUCCGCAAUUACUGGGUGUAAUGGGAGCGUAGACGGCGGGGCAAGUCUGGAGUGAAAGGCGGGGGCCCAACCCCCGUAAUGCUAUGGACACUGGAUGGCUUGAGUGCAGGAGAGGGAAGCGGAAUUCCUAGUGUAGCGGUGAAAUGCGUAGAGAUGAGGAGGAACACCAGAGGCGAAGGCGGCUUACUGGACUGGAACUGACGUUGAGGCUCGAAAGCGUGGGGAGCAAACAGGAUGAGAUACCCCGGUAGUC
rnacentral:rRNA from 1 species